rnacentral:rRNA from 1 species
GACGAACGCUGGCGGCGUGCUUAACACAUGCAAGUCGAACGGUGAAAGCGGAGCUUGCUCCGCUGGAUCAGUGGCGAACGGGUGAGUAACACGUGGGCAACCUGCCCCUCACUUCGGGAUAACUCCGGGAAACCGGGGCUAAUACCGGAUAUGACCUCCUUGGGCAUCCUUGGAGGUGGAAAGUUUUUCGGUGAGGGAUGGGCCCGCGGCCUAUCAGCUUGUUGGUGAGGUAGUGGCUCACCAAGGCGACGACGGGUAGCCGGCCUGAGAGGGCGACCGGCCACACUGGGACGGGGACACGGCACAGACUCCGACGGGAGGCAGCAGUGGGGAAUAUUGCGCAAUGGGCGGAAGCCUGACGCAGCAACGCCGCGUGCGGGAUGACGGCCUUCGGGUUGUAAACCUCUUUUAGCAGGGAAGAAGCGAAAGUGACGGUACCUGCAGAAAAAGCACCGGCUAACUACGUGCCAGCCGCCGCCGUAA